UACGGGGGGAGCAAACGUUGUUCGGAAUCACUGGGCGUAAAGGGCGCGUAGGCGGCUAGGUAAGUGGGGUGUUAAAUCUCCCGGCUCAACCGGGAACCUGCACCUCAUACUGCUUAGCUUGAGUACAGCAGAGGAGACUGGAAUUCCCGGUGUAGCGGUGAAAUGCGUAGAUAUCUGGAGGAACACCGGUGGCGAAGGCGGCAUCCUGGACCGGCAUUGACGCUGAGGCGCGAAAGCCAGGGGAGCAAACGGG
rnacentral:rRNA from 1 species